CAGUCGCCGCGGUAAUACGUAGGUGGCAAGCGUUGUCCGUAAUUAUUGGGCGUAAAGCGCGCGCAGGCGGAUCAGUCAGUCUGUCUUAAAAGUUCGGGGCUUAACCCCGUGAUGGGAUGGAAACUGCUGAUCUAGAGUAUCGGAGAGGAAAGUGGAAUUCCUAGUGUAGCGGUGAAAUGCGUAGAUAUUAGGAAGAACACCAGUGGCGAAGGCGACUUUCUGGACGAAAACUGACGCUGAGGCGCGAAAGCCAGGGGAGCGAACGGGAUUAGAUACCCCGGUAGUCCCUGUCUCUUAUACA
rnacentral:rRNA from 1 species